CUCAACAACGCAGUGACAGAAGAAGAGAGGGCGGUCUAGGAAGUGUAACUCACUCCGUCCCCAAAACCAGCCGCACAUGGACUCUACGAAGCAGUUGGGAGCCACUGCCAGUUCUGAACAGCGGAAAGAUAUGUUCGAAGCUGCGCUUUUGGAAAAUCGGUCUGGCAGCAGCAGGGAAGAUAGACUGUCUUUUCUCGGCUCAGCAGCACCAGCUGCAAGACCUGACCACGGAGCCAGCAAGUGCAGAGCCGGGGUUAGGACCAUGUCGGUCCAACUGCUGGGCUGGGGCUCAAAUCCCAGAAGGCAGGCCGACUAAGGCUGGAUGAAGGCUUCUGGCUCCACAAGCCCCCUUUCCUCAUCAGGGGCGCCCUGGCGCGGCGUUCCUCUGCCGCCCUUCCUGUGGUUUUGAACCUUCCUAUUGGCCCAUCUCAGCAGCAAACAGUUCCUCUGAGUAGAAUGUGCUCUGAAAAGCCCAAAUCCACCACCAGCUGGAGCUGGGAGGGCUGCAAUACUUCCUGUUGAAUUGGGUCCUGGGGGCAGAAACCGCAUUGCUAUUUACACCCGAAGCUCUUUAUUUGAGGUGCUUUACAAAACACAAAAGGCUAAGUCCUCUGUCUUCGAAGCCAACAGACCACAGACGCACGGAAGGCAACAGAGAAUAAUGAGCUGCCUCCCCUCUUACACCGUCACUCCCUUUCUGCCCGAGCGGUUCCCUCUGCGGCCCCUUCUAUUUCUUUCAUUGCCUUCCUCUGAGCAGUCUUAUUACUGAAAUAGACUCCUAAUUAACACAUCAGGUUUCCCCUGUUCCAAAAAGUCUCUGAAAUUUGCCUGUUCUGUGAUGCUGUUCACUCAAAACACCCCCUGCUGUCUUUAUUUUGUUCUGCUUUUUGUCCUGGCUCGUAUCGUUUGUUUCUUUGUAUUGAAAGCUUGUCAGCUCGCGGAACCUGGCACGUAUUAAUUAGGAGGAUGGUCCGGUGCUCGACACAGCUUGAUGGAAAGCAAGUCUGAGCGGGGACUUGGGCAGAGAAUCAGAAAGAAGCUGAAGCGAACGAACGGGGAGACGGCUUAAGACCGUGACCCAGUUUUCAGACCCGGGGCGCGACCAACAGUCAGCCUUCUGGCCUGUGACUCUUCACCUCAGCUAAGCCCAUCUGCAACUUGCCCCGUAAGAGUGCACGUCGGGGGCACGUCUGUGCCUUUGCCCAGUGUGUCCCCCUCUGCCGGGACGCCCUGCCUUCUCUCUGCCACCUGAGCUUUGCUGGCGUUCAAGGCCAGAAGGAAAUUUCAUCUCCUCCGAAAAGCCUUCCACAGCUCGUCUAGUCCUAGUCAGCCACCGUCUUCGUGACACCUUGGCUGUUUUUGCAUCACCGAACCUACCCCCUCGAUCGUGUGGUCUUUUUGAUGAGAAUUGUCUCCGUGCCUCCAGUCCUCAAAGGGAAAGGGGGUUCUGCCAGACAUGGGUGGAGUAAGAAAGAAGCUUGCUAGCUGCUUCAGGUCAGACGGGUCUUCGAAGUCUUUGGAGCAGUCCCACACACAGCGCCCCCGUCCCCACCCAAGAGGGACAAGUUCAGCAGACACAGAUCCUAGAGGCGCUGGCCUCCAAGCAUCGCUCAGGGGAAUUGCCAGCCAUUGUUUGGAAACAGAGCUGCCCUGGUGAGAAGCAGCUCAAUUGUAAACCAGCUUCUGCAAUUUGGUGUCUCCCUUAGACCCUUGGGCUCAUCUCUGAAACAUCGAUUUCUUGUCCCGUCCACAGGCUUUAGUACGUGUGGUGAGCAGCGCUGGGGCUCCACCUGCCCCCCUCAAAAUCCUUUUUCCAUUCUUAGAUGCCCUGUUCUUGGCUUGUAUGUUUGCUUCCAGCAGCUGGCACCCGUGAGGGACCCUUCAGAAGACUCCACUCAGAAGUCCCCGGAAACUUACACUUUCCUUGGGCGGGGGGGGGGGGGGGGGGCGCCUUGCUCAAUGACUGACUGGUGCCCACCCUGAAAGUCCAGUUUUUGGCCCAGAGUGAGGACAAGGUCUGAGGCAUAACUUGUAUUCCACGACUCUCCCAGGGGCAGGCCAAGGCAGGGACUUGGUCUGAAUGGCUCCUGGCUUGGCUUCUUCUUGUUCUCUGUCCUGCCUGUCUGUCCUUCCCACCUCUCCCUACCCCCACACACUGAUUUGCCCUAGGGAACAGCCCCUCGCACAUGAAUACGCCUCUCCAAGUUCAUUUCUGGGCGAACUGACCUAAGAUAAUACCUAUGGUGCGUCUCUCCAUUGGCCAUUGGCAGUCAUGGCCCCUGCCUACACAUUCUACCAGCUUCCGCUUUUUUUGAGGGACGAUUGUCAUUCACUCUGAGGUAGCCCUCAAGGACCUAACUCCCAGGCAAACCCUGUGCAGGUCAGGGAGCCCUCAUUAAAGUUAGUUAUACACGUCGCCCAAUACAGUGAAAAAUCUACCCAGUCAUUCCUUGGUGAUGUGAUAACAGAUACCCAGCCAGAAACUUAUUUUUAUUUAUUCUCUUUACGAUACGACACUCAUUCUAUUUUUUUCAGGCUUUCCUCAUUUUAAAACAUUUCUAGGCAAUACACUUAAGGACAUCAAUGUACUAAAAUGUCAGUUUGUGAAAUAACAGAACCAUUAGCAUCCAAAGAAUUCUUGGAGCUUGUACAUAUUAUCCAAACAAUGACUGUGGCUUCGGGUCAUGGGCAAAGGUUUCAUUUCAUUUUAGCAUCUCAAAGCUCGCAAAGAUAGCCAAUGAAAUGUCACCAUUCAUCCGCCUAGGAAACAGUAGUAGCUUCCCCCUAAGUCACUUUGGAUGCUGCCCAGGCAGUUACUGAUAGAUUUCAUUCCUCUUUUUAUUUUGUUAAAAAGUUUAUUUAUUUAUUUUGAGAGAGAGAGAGAGAGAGAAGGGGGCGAGGCAGAGAGAGAGGGAGAGAGAGAGAGAACCCCAAGCAGCCUCCGUGCUCAGCACAGAGCCUGACGGGGGGCACAAUCCCACGAACCAUAAGAUCGUGACCUGAGCCGAGAUCAAGAGUCAGACACUUAACCGACCGAGCCACCAAGGCGCCCCUCAUUCAUCUUUUUAGACGCCACAUUCUUGAUAAUGUGACUCAGGAAUGCGGCUGCCACACUGGCCCUGCCCUAAACUCUCCUGAGAAGCUAUCUCAAGUAACGAAGCAAAGGGAAAAAAUUACUUUUCUGUCCUAGGUCACAAGUCCCUAAACUCUUCCUAACUUUAUAGUUAAACCUACCCCUAAAAUCCCACCACCAUUUCUCACCUUUGCUGCAGGUGCACACAUUCACUUCCGACGCCCUAAGCCCAAGGCCAGGUCUCGUUGUUCUUUGUUUCCCAGCCAGCGGCCAGGGUCACGCCUGUCAACUGUAGCAAUCAAGCGAGGACUGGAAGUCACAGACUACUUUGAAUCAAGCCAGGCAAAUAGGGCUUGCGCAAGACUCAACCUAUUCGUGGAUCCGGACACCUUGGCAGAGUAGAGCCUGAACGGGCAACUGUGAUGUAGUUUUCUGAAAUGUGAUUUCUCAAACUCCUUUAGCUAUCUGCCGUAAGGUGCAUUUGGGUUUUCUUUCUAGCCUUAUUGUUUUAUAAUUUGAUGCCUCUUCCUGCCUGAUAAAUUCAAGUUUUCGGGAACUUAAGCACUUAAUACUUUAGAUUUCUCAGAAAGGCAGUUUAUUAGGAAACCUCGUGUUUACUCAAGUAUGCGAGAAGUCCACUUGGCCAGCAGGUUACAUGCGAUUCCUUGAAAUUCUGUUCCAUGGACUCCAGGGAGCUAAAUGUAACAUUUAGUCAUCAAUAGGAUAAUUUAGGCUCAUUCUUUCUACUUGCCUUCUUAAGAAGGGAUUGGAGUUCAUGCCGGUAUUCUCUAGAAAAUGGAAGUGACUUCCCGCCCUGUAAAGAUGGCUUUCCAUACACCGUGGACUCUCACACAAGCCUCUUUAUCGUCACACACAUGAAAGCAACAUGAAAAUGCUGAGGUUGGGACCAACGGCGGGAAGCCUUACAAUCAAGAAUGAGAGAAAACUACACACUUAACUACCAAUGAAAUGCCAAGCAGAAACGAAGAUGUCCUCACCAGACGAUGGUCUUGAAGACCAGAAGCUCAGCUCCACAGCCCAGAACUUAGACACAACUCCUAAGGAAAUUUGGAAAACCUCAAAUUAACUAGAAUUCCUAUUCUGCUGUGCCAGUAGCAUGGAAACUCAAGAAAGAAAUUAAAUUUAAAAAAAAUCACAUUUCUUGCACCCUGAAAUCAAUACCUACAAUAUUGCCCAACUGGGGAAGCAGGACAUUUCCAUAAAAAGAGAGGCACUGUCAUUGGCUAGUAGAUACGGGGAGUAAAUAAGCUAUAUAGCAGACACUUUCUACAGAAAUUCAAGGCCUCUGCAGCCCACAGAGGUGGAGAGAACAUCAUGGGUGGCGGCGGCCUUCUUGCAGUAUUAACCGACCAGAGUGGUUACGGUGAUGCAUAGUGCCCAACAAACCAGGUGCUAUAAUAAGGAAACCUCAAAUGAAUUUUUUUUAAUGUUUACUCAUUUUUGAGAGACAGAGAGAGACAGAGCACAAGCGAGGGUGGGGCAGAGAGAGAGAGAGAGAGAGAGACACAGAAUCCAAAGCAGGCUCCAGGCUCUAAGCUGUCAGCACGGAGCCCGACGAGGGGCUCAAAUUCACGAACAGUGAGAUCAUGAUCUGAGCUGAAGUCAGACGCCUAACUGACUCAGCCACCCAGGCGCCCCAGGAAACUAAUGAUAAUAGGAGUUUACUCCCUGCAUAUAUAAUAGAUUAACAGGGGUAAUCCUGGUUGGUAGGUGGUUUCUUCCACAUGGUCAUUCAAGGCCCCAGGAUGUUAGGUCUCCCCAGCACAAGGAGGGAUCUUGUCACAACACAGAGAAUUACUAAUGGAAGAAAUCAUCCUAGUUCCCAUCUGCCUAGUGCCUCUUGAGUGCCGGGCACUGCGCAUUCAACCCUCACAAUAGUCCUUUGUGAAGAAGCGAGGGCUUGGAAAGGCUUGCACCCAAUUCUGGCUAACCCCAAGCCAGACUCUUAAUCAUUCCACUCUCCAUCAGCUUUUUGAUUUAUGCUGACGUUGCAUUCCUGAGAAGUGACAGCUAAUUCAAAACCAUGUGAAGCAAAAAUGAAUUUUCUUACCAGAAAUGAAGGAAAAGCGAAGCAGGAGAAAUGCUCCAGUAGAUUGCAAAAGAUUCUAGUCAUGCAAAUGUUUUCACCAUAUUGCAUUAAUGUGAGCAGUAAAGAAACAGUUUAUGGGGGAAAUUGAAUAUAUUAAAAUUUAUUCAUGGAAUAACAACGAGAAAAAAAAUAGCCACUCGCUAAUGGAGGACUGGCCAAUACAGCCUGCAAAGGCUGGUAUACAAGUCUGGAGUUUCUACACUGUAAGAAUUCUAAUGUAUAAAGACUUUCUUCAUGUCAGUGGUAUUCUCAACUGAACACCCAUUAUUCUUGGUGGCCCUGCUUAACUAUUUUCUUAGCUUUUUCAUCAGAGCAAAGCAUAUGGCUGAAGCCUGUGGAAAUAGUAACUACUACUAAUUAUUAAUAAUAGUCAAGAGUGCUACGUGCAGACACUAUUCCAAACACAUGCCUUUCUUCACUGGGUCUUCAGGUUCAUCCAAUAGGAUAGCUUCUUUAGUAUCCCCAUUUUGCAGAUGAGUGAACUGAGGCACCGAGAGAUUGAGUAACUUCCUAUGAUGGUUACUUUUAUGUGUCCAUUUGGUUGGGCCAACUGGCGGAAGUGGCUGGGCCACAGAACCCACAUGGUUGGUUAAACAUUAUUCUGGAUGUUUCUAUGAGGGUGUUUCUGGAUGAGAUUUACAUUUAAAUCUGUGGACUUUGAGUAAAGCAGAUUGCCCUCCAUGAUGCCGGGGAGGCUUUCUCCAAUCAACUGAAAGCUUGAAUAGAACAAAAGGCUGACCUUUCCAAGAGCAAGAAGAAAUUCCGCCAGCAGACUGCCUUUGGACUUCAUCUGCAGCAUCAGCUCUCCCUAAUUCACUAACAGACUGCCUUUGAACUUGAACCGCCAUUCUUUCCUGUGUCUGCAGCCUGCCAGCCUCCCCUAUCAGAUUUUGGACUUGCUAACCCA